AGUUUGAAACUGUCAGGUUGCUGCCUAGGUAGCGGCUGUGCUUGCUGAGGCUGCACUUGCUGACACUGCAGCUGCGACGCGGCUAGGAGGUGCAGAGCGAGGAGUCGGGAUUUGGUCGCGAGUGGCGACGAGCAUUUGUGCAGAAUGUCAUCAGAUGAGGAGAAAUACUCACUUCCGGUUGUGCAAAAUGACUCCAGUCGAGGCAGUUCGGUCUCUUCGAAUCUUCAGGAAGAAUAUGAAGAACUGCUUCGUUAUGCUAUAGUGACUCCAAAUAUUGAACCCGGUGCUUCACAGUCAUCUCAUCCUAAAGAAGAAUUGGUGCCAGAUGUCAGAAUUUCUACAAUUCAUGAUAUUCUUCAUAGUCAAGGAAAUAACUCUGAAGUAAGAGAAACUGCAAUAGAAGUGGGGAAAGGAUGUGAUUUCAAUAUUUCAAGUCAUUCAAAGACAGAUGAGUCAUCACCAGUGUUACCGCCAAGGAAGCCUUCUCACCCGGUCAUGGAUUUUUUCAGUUCACAUCUUUUAGCUGACUCUUCCUCAGCAGCAACAAAUUCUAGUCAUACAGAUGCCCAUGAAAUACUUGUGAGCGAUUUUCUUGUUUCUGAUGAAAACCUUCAGAAGAUGGAAAAUGUACUUGAUCUUUGGAGUUCAGGUCUUAAGACAAACAUCAUAUCUGAACUAAGUAAAUGGAGACUUAAUUUUAUUGACUGGCACCGAAUGGAAAUGAGAAAAGAGAAAGAAAAACAUGCAGCACAUUUAAAACAACUGUGUAAUCAGAUCAAUGACUUGAAGGAGCUGCAAAGAACCUUUGAAAUCUCCAUUGGGAGAAAAGAUGAGGUGAUUUCUAGCUUGUCUCAUGCCAUAGGCAAGCAAAAGGAAAAGAUAGAGUUGAUGAGAACAUUCUUCCACUGGCGAAUCGGCCAUGUCAGAGCCAGACAGGACGUUUAUGAAAGUAAACUAGCUGACCAGUACUACCAGAGAACUUUACUGAAGAAAGUGUGGAAAGGCUGGCGUUCCAUAGUCCAAAAGCAGUGGAAAGAUGUGGUAGAAAGAGCUUGUCAAGCAAGAGCUGAAGAAGUUUGUAUACAGAUUUCCAAUGAUUAUGAAGCCAAAGUUGCUAUGUUAUCUGGAGCUUUGGAAAAUGCAAAAGCUGAGAUUCAAAGAAUGCAACAUGAAAAAGAGCACUUUGAAGAUUCCAUGAAAAAAGCUUUCAUGAGGGGUGUAUGUGCAUUAAAUCUCGAAGCCAUGACUAUAUUUCAAAACAGAAAUGAUACAGGGAUAGACUCCACAAAUAAUAAAAAGGAAGAGCAUGGUCCUGGUGUUCAAGGAAAAGAACAUUCUGCUCAUUUGGAUCCUUCAGCUCCUCCGAUGCCCUUACCGGUUACAUCACCACUGCUGCCAUCCCCACCAGCCGCCGUCGGAGGAGCCAGUGCAACUGCUGUUCCCUCAGCUGCUUCAGUGACUUCUACCAGGGCUGCUUCCGCAUCUUCUGUUCACGUUCCUGUUUCUGUUCUUGGUGCAGGAUCUGCAGCUACUGCUGCAUCAGAAGAAAUGUAUGUGCCAAGAGUUGUAACCUCUGCACAACAGAAAGCAGGAAGAACUAUUACAGCCCGGAUCACAGGAAGAUGUGAUUUUGCUUCAAAAAAUAGAAUUAGCAGCAGUUUAGCCAUAAUGGGAGUUUCUCCUCCCAUGAGCUCAGUUGUUGUGGAAAAACAUCAUCCAGUCACAGUGCAAACCAUUCCUCAAGCAACUGCAGCAAAAUAUCCCCGGACCAUUCAUCCUGAAAGUGGUACCUCAGCUUCCAGAUCACUUGGAACCAGAUCAGCUCACACCCAGUCUCUCACAAGUGUUCAUUCCAUAAAAGUGGUUGACUAAAGUGAAUAUGUCCAUAGUGGGGUCUUUUAAUCCCUCUGGUCUUACCAAAGGUAAAACUGCUUCAGUGAAAAUAAUGGCAGAUAUUCCUGUAUUUUGCUUGAAUGCUUGUUAUUAUAUGAGAGCUACAACACCUCCUAAUUUAUUGGUGAGUUUUUAAACGAUCUUUCCUGACAAUAUGGUCAGUGAUUUUGGCAGACUGAUUUUUAGCAAUAACCUCAGGUGGCAAAGUAAUAGCCUGUCUGCUCUUUUUGUUCUACCUAGAGAUAACAUUUUCAAAUACACUAACCUGCAGUUUAUCAACAGGGGUAAAAUGGCAUUUUGAGCAAGACAACUCUUAGUGGUGGAGAACAAUCCUAUAACUGUAUGGGAUAGUUUAGCACUUCUGCCCUACCCCACCUGCCCCCACCACACAUACACAUAAACAAAAACACUCCCACACUUUUUCAAAUGCCAAGUAGGGGAAUGACACAGAACUGCCAGGCUAAUGAGUAACCAGUAUUGACUGGGUCAUUCCCCAAAGGAGAAGCUGCUGACAGCUUACAAGCCCCUUCCAUAGUUCCACACUCCAUGUGAGCCACAGCUAACACCACGCUGGGACUGUAGCUGGUCAGGAUGGUAUUUCUGUAGACUGCUUCCUGAAAUUUUAAGGGAGAAAGAAUUUCUGUUGUUGAAACUGUCACUUACCAGCCAGUUUUGGGAAACCUGCACGUACCAGCUCUUCAUACAGGUGCUUGGCCGGGUCAACCGGAGUCAUCAGGGUCCCGUGUAGCCAGAUUAGCAGAGCCCUGUGGCCAUGUUCACGGAAGCUUUCAUGUCCUGUGCCAAGCACAAGAGGUCCGAGGUAAAACACCACGAGCUGCUAUCUCUUUCCAUUGUGAUCUCAGUUCCAGCUAAACUUUCUGAAUGACUGUGGUUGCUUGCCUGUUGCUCUUCGAAAAAAGCCCUUCCAGUUGCCCUCGCUGUGCUGCUUUAUGAUGACCAGCAUUUGCUUUCCCUCCAGCCCUUGCCAUGCACCUGCUGUGCUUGGCAUACACCCAAAGGAGUGUACAAGAGAGAGGACAGUUGUGGUGCCUGCCCAGCGGGAACAGUUUUAAUGAAAUGUGCAACUUCUUAUAGACCAGUGCUCUUCAAACUCACAGUGCUUAUUUCACCUGGGUAUCUUACUAAAAUGCAAGUUUGGAUUCAGUAGGUCUGGGGUAAGAAUCCAUGCAUCUAACAAACUCCCGGGUGCUGCUGCCACUGCUGCUCCAUAUUCCCCACUCUGAGCAGCAAGCAUGCACCAUUCAUUCUGCCACUCAGUCUCAAGGAAGCUACUCUGAGGGAAGUUUGCAUCCCUGGGCCAGAAUUAUUCAUUUGAUAAAUACUCACUGCAUAUCUCAGCCUAGAGAGGCGUUGGGGGAAGUACUGGGAUAGGGAGCCACAAAGCCACUGUGGUUCCCAACAGGACUUCACUACAGGCUCCUUGCUCUGAGAGAGUGUGCAGGAGCAGACAUGCUGUGCAAGGGAAGGGCCUGAGCUCCGCAGGGGUGAGGGAGAAGUUCACUGGACAGACUGUUACGGAGAGGCGGGCAUUUCAGGGAGAGGGAACUGCGUGCUUACAGAAUGUACUCCUGGACAAGUCCUCUGUUCCUUUCCUAAUCUUGCUCUUGACAAACUAAUUUUUCUUAAAUACCAUCAUCAGUCUGUCACUCCUUUGCUCAAAAUCCCACAAACUCCCCAUUGCCGGUAACCUUACCCUGGAUCACAACGUAAUUGAAUUGUAAAUGUCAUUGUUAUUGUGCCAACUAGAUUAUAAACUCCAUCAAACAUGCAUGGCUUAGAGAGCUGAUGUAUCUAUCCCUCACCCGGCAGAAAAAAACACUCCAGGCCCUCCAUAAAGUUUCCAUCAAAACACUUUAACAUCCCCCUUAUCCUGCUGGCAAGUACUCUGAAGAUACACUAUAUUUUCAAGUCAUCUCUUUAAGUCAAGAUAGAGUUCCAGGAGGCAACUCAAUUUUCCUAAAGACUUCACAGAACACUAUAAGCCUAAUUAAUGACAAAAAAGAAAUCUUAACAAUAAAAAAUUUUUUCUAGUUAGAAACUAGUUAGUAUUCAAUGUUUUCAAUAGAUUUUCUUCUAUUUUUCACAUGAAAAUGUAUCCUAAGAAUGUGCAAUACAAAGUCUCAUAAUUUACUUGUAUGUGGUGUAAAUAGUGUAUGCUCACGGGCUGUGCUUCUGCCAUCCCCAGUACCCAGCAAUCCCUAAUACAAAUCAACCCCUGAGCAAGGACACCUUCUCGUCUUAGGAUGUCCAUGAGAGGGCAGUGUUCUGAAUAGAAAACUUCGCCAAGAAACGUGUUGGCUUCGUUGUUUUCAAAGCUAAUUAGUUGACUAAUGCCAAGUAAACUUUCUAUGUUUCCUAGGUUUUCAUCUAACCACAAAAAAGCAAAAUUAAGGAAUCUAGCUGACCUGACCUCACUAAUUCUGACAGUUUGAGUCCAGCUGAAAUGAUUCCAUUGUUGGAAUCAUCUAGCCAAGAAAGCCCUCUGAGUCUGUAUUCCCCGUGUCACUCACGUGACAGCCAAGUCUCCCCUAAGGCAGUGUCCUGCAACAACCCUUUCUCCCACACCCACCUGGUUUGAGGAAUUCCUCUUUCUGGAACGCAGACUUAAACAGUGAGCCUAUUGAUUACAGAAUAAACCCAUUUGCCCCAGGACAGUCUCAAGGAACAUAGAAAUCAGAUUGGCUUCCCACUGACACACCAACUGUUAAAUCCUUGCUUCCUUAGUGACCGUCCAGUUGGGAACCUUAAUUUCUCUCUAGGCUAAAUGCCACAUGUUUGAUAUGGCUCAAUAAACAUAACCAUCCCUUGCAAACUUCAGUUUACUGCAGACCAUGAGCGUUCACUUUCUGCAAACCUUAAUACCCAAAUCACUGGUGUGGACCUAAGCUAGCUGCCCCUAUUCCUGGACCCCUUGAAGACUGCGGCUUAUUGUGAGUGCCACGAACUUCCUUGGGAGACCUCACAGCAGGAGCCACUGCUGUUCCUAACAGUGAAUUCCUCCUGCCCACAUCAGCUAGUCCGUACUCACCCGACCACUGCUCCUCGAUGGCUCUAAUCUGGUCAUCUGUAAAGUUCCACGAACGGGCCAGCCUCUGCCACUCAUUGGCCUUCAGCUGAUGAAUCCACCAGAGUCCUGCAGAAUCAAACCACAAACACUGGAGAAAAUCACUGAGUGAAAGCAGGCAUCGUGGCUUCCUAGAACUGCAUGUUGUGCUUAUGCCACUAGGAAUCCAGGUAAUCCUCCUGCAGAAGGUUGCAGAUCAGUUAAGGACAUGCAGGACACGCGGCCCACCAAGAAGUCUGGGACUUCCUACUUACCUCUCCUUUUUCAUGUAUAGUGACUUCUAUUUUUGUCUUUCACUUAAAUAGAGGUGUAUCUUAAUGAAAAUAUUCUUGACAACAAGAUGGGAAUCCAGGCUGGGGCAGGAAAUGAACCAAAAGUGUCUAGGACCCUGGGUUUAAAAACUGAUGAGAAGAACUUGAUGGGCCCCCACCAUGGAUCCUUCACAGCAUCAGCAACCUCCUCCAGGAAGCUCGACAAGGGAAGUGCAAUAAGCUCCUCCUGGGAAGCUUGGCCAAGAAGGGCAAAACCUUCCUCUAGUAUCUGAACUUUGUGUACAGAAGUUGGAAUAGGAAUGGGAGGUAUGAAUUACCCAUAAUUGUUUCAGAGACUGUAAAAAGCAGGGUCUUCUCCAACCCAGCCUCAGCUUUACUUCCACAGUGCCUAGCUCCCAGGAAUUCUACAAGAAGUAAGACUGAGGAUGGGGAGCUCCAACAAACUUGGGAACUGCGGGCCACUUCACUUUGUCCUUCUCUCCUCAUUCCAUCUCCUGAAACAAUGAUGAAUCCAACAAGAUCAAAAGCCUAAAUGUCACAAGGGAAAGGGAAGAACACAAAAUGCUUCUGCAUUUAUCUUUGUGCGGUAACAUUUUUAGUUCUUCAAGAAACUUACGUGGUUUGUGCCUUUCAGGAUUGGACUGGGUGGUCCCUUAGGCUUCCAUUGAAAAGGGCAGGAGCUUUGGAAAGCCUAGGUCUUUUUCAGCAGCCAGUGAAGCAUUAAAUAGCUUGCCUGCCAAAACACUGAACUAUUUGCAGGAAUAACAUGAGCCAGAACUGGUGGAAAUUAAAAUAACAUAAGCCAGGUUUUAGGAAGCUCCCAUUUGCCUCUGAACCACUGAAUUUAAUAAUGGAUGAUUGGGUGGUUAGGUUAAUGGAUAAAUGGAUAUGAGAGAGGAAAUUUAAAUCAUAUAUUUAAUCCAUUUACUAGGAACCAUUUUAUAUUAGGCGAGGAUAUAAACUUGUUCAAUGAACAAAGAGAAUUUAAAAUAAUAAAUGCAUUUGGUUAAAAAAAAUGUUUAAAGAUGUAUCUUAAAAAACAAGUAUUUCUCUCACUCCAGACCCCAGGACCCCAAUUGUCACCAGAGUUAACAACUCUUACCAUUUCUGGGGGUCUCCUUUAGCUAUAUUCAUGUAUUAUAUAUGGUUUUCAAAGUAUACCUAACUCUUAUGUCUUAAAGAUUCAUUAGGAAAGAAAGCAUAUUCAUUUGGUGGGAAAGUAAUUUAUUCUCAUCUACCCAAAAGAAUUUUUAAAAAGCUAUCAGGAAUUAAAAAUAGAACCAAUGAAUAUUUCUAUUUCCAAAGAAAAUGUGAAAGCAAGUUAAAGAGAAAGAGAAAAGAUGGAACUUGGUAAAGUUGUCUUCAAUAAAAUACAAUGAUAAUUUAAGAAAUUGAGCCUGAGGAUAGGAAAAGAGGAAGAGGUAAAGGGAGGAGAUGGAAGAACAUAGAAAUAUGAGCAAUGGGAGAGAAGAAACAGAGAGUUCCAAUUGUUAAAAAGUUUUACAAGCAAAGCACUUUUUUUUAUUUUGUUUUACAGGCAAGAAAAGUUGCAAGGAGGAUGGUGUGACCUUUAAAAGAAUCCAUAUAUAUCAAGACUACCAAGCUAAUUAAACAGGAUUGUGAGAGAGAAGGAGAUGAGUAAAUGCUUUUUGCUUUAAGGAUUUAAGGGAAAUUUCCCAGGACUGGCCAGGUGGACAGCAAUCCAGAAUUUGAAUUUCAAAACACAUAUUUGUUCUUCAGAGUAAAAAUUCUUACUGACAUAGCUCAACCAAAAUUGGGAUAUUUUACUGACUAUGAAGAUGCAUCAUUUCUCCAGUUUGUGCCCAUUUCACAAAGGAUAUUCCAAUACCGCUGCUCAAGGCUGACAUCCAAUGGGAAGUUCUUAGCAAACAUCUCAGCUGAAUGGAGUAAAGUCCAUGCACUUACCUUGUCAACAGCCUUCAAGUCACAGCCCGCCUUCAGCAGGGUUUCCACCAGUUCCACAUUUCCACGAUCAGCAGCUACAUGCAGAGGGGUUUGCUGCUUCUGCCAUGAAAUUAAGGAGGCGAACAAACUUGGAUGGUGAAAAGACAAAUGGAAAGUAUAGCCAUCCUAUUUAGGCUCAAGGGAAAACACAGGUCAUACAUUUUUUAACGGAUACUGGGGCAUUCAUUGCAGUAUUUGCAAUACUGAAAAACUGAAAGGAAAUUACGUGUUUAACAAGGAGACUCACUAGAUAAAUUAUGAUACAUCUGUAUAUUGGAAUAAUAGGCAACCAUUAAAAAUUAUUUUUUAAAAAAUGAUUUCAAUAUUGGGUACCUAAAGUAGUCGAAGGUAUAGAGACAGAAAGUAGAAUGGUGGUUCCCAGGAGCUGGAGGAGGAGGGAAUGGGAAGUUACUGUUUAAUAGAUAUAAGAUUUCAGCUUGGGAAGAUGAAAAAUGUUCUGGAGAUGGAUGGUGGUGAUAUUAUACCAAAUGAAUGUAAUUAAUGCUGCUGAACUGUACACUUAAGAUGGUUAAAAUGGUGGAUUUUGUUAUGUCUAUUUUACUACAAUAAAAAUUAUUUUGAA